rnacentral:rRNA from 1 species
GAUGAACGCUGGCGGCGUGCCUAAUACAUGCAAGUCGAGCGAACAGACGAGGAGCUUGCUCCUCUGACGUUAGCGGCGGACGGGUGAGUAACACGUGGAUAACCUACCUAUAAGCCUGGGAUAACUUCGGGAAACCGGAGCUAAUACCGGAUAAUAUAUUGAACCGCAUGGUUCAAUAGUGAAAGACGGUUUUGCUGUCCCUUAUAGAUGGAUCCGCGCCGCAUUAGCUAGUUGGUAAGGUAACGGCUUACCAAGGCAACGAUGCGUAGCCGACCUGAGAGGGUGAUCGGCCACACUGGAACUGAGACACGGUCCAGACUCCUACGGGAGGCAGCAGUAGGGAAUCUUCCGCAAUGGGCGAAAGCCUGACGGAGCAACGCCGCGUGAGUGAUGAAGGUCUUCGGAUCGUAAAACUCUGUUAUUAGGGAAGAACAAAUGUGUAAGUAACUAUGCACGUCUUGACGGUACCUAAUCAGAAAGUCACGGCUAACUACGUG